AACAAACUGAAAGGCAGCUGGAGCACUUAGAUUACCGGUAAACAUCCAUGUUCAUGUGACCAAAACCAACCCAGAAAAUAGACACACAGCCUGAGAGAAUGCAAUAUUCAUUUUGCUG